rnacentral:rRNA from 1 species
UACGUAGGGUGCAAGCGUUGUCCGGAAUUAUUGGGCGUAAAGAGCUCGUAGGCGGUUUGUCGCGUCUGCUGUGAAAACGCGAGGCUCAACCUCGCGCCUGCAGUGGGUACGGGCAGACUAGAGUGCGGUAGGGGAGAUUGGAAUUCCGGGUGUAGCGGUGGAAUGCGUAGAGAUCCGGAAGAACACCGGUGGCGAAGGCGGCCUGCUGGGCUAUGGCUGACACUGAUGCGCGACAGCGUGGGGAGCAACAGG